rnacentral:rRNA from 1 species
GUGACGAUAGCCUAGGAGAUACACCUGUACCCAUGCCGAACACAGAAGUUAAGCCCUAGAACGCCGGAAGUAGUUGGGG